AGUGAACGCUGGCGGUAGGCCUAACACAUGCAAGUCGAACGGCAGCACAGUAAGAGCUUGCUCUUACGGGUGGCGAGUGGCGGACGGGUGAGGAAUACAUCGGAAUCUACUUUUUCGUGGGGGAUAACGUAGGGAAACUUACGCUAAUAUCGCAUACGACCUACGGGUGAAAGCAGGGGAUCUUCGGACCUUGCGCGAUUGAAUGAGCCGAUGUCGGAUUAGCUAGUUGGCGGGGUAAAGGCCCACCAAGGCGACGAUCCGUAGCUGGUCUGAGAGGAUGAUCAGCCACACUGGAACUGAGACACGGUCCAGACUCCUACGGGAGGCAGCAGUGGGGAAUAUUGGACAAUGGGCGCAAGCCUGAUCCAGCCAUACCGCGUGGGUGAAGAAGGCCUUCGGGUUGUAAAGCCCUUUUGUAGGGAAAGAAAAGCAGCAGGUUAAUACCCCGCUGUUCUGACGGUACCCAAAGAAUAAGCACCGGCUAACUUCGUG
rnacentral:rRNA from 1 species